rnacentral:rRNA from 1 species
AACGCGAAGAACCUUACUAAGGCUUGACAUAUACCGGAAACAUCCAGAGAUGGGUGCCCCCUUGUGGUCGGUAUACAGGUGGUGCAUGGCUGUCGUCAGCUCGUGUCGUGAGAUGUUGGGUUAAGUCCCGCAACGAGCGCAACCCUUGUCCUGUGUUGCCAGCAUGCCCUUCGGGGUGAUGGGGACUCACAGGAGACCGCCGGGGUCAACUCGGAGGAAGGUGGGGACGACGUCAAGUCAUCAUGCCCCUUAUGUCUUGGGCUGCACACGUGUUACAAUGGCCGGUACAAAGUGCUGCGAUGCCGUGAGGCGGAGCGAAUCUCAAAAAGCCGGUCUCAGUUCGGAUUGGGGUCUGCAACUCGACCCCAUGAAGUCGGAGUUGCUAGUAAUCGCAGAUCAGCAUUGCUGCGGUGAAUACGUUCCCGGGCCUUGUACACACCGA